AGAAAGAUGUUUGGGUCUGGUUUGGAUUCUGUUAUCUCUACUGUAACUGGAGGUAAGGGUGCCUUUUCCCCUCAGGACUCUUACCACCAUGAAAGAAAUGAAUUAAUAAGGGAUGUAUGCUUAGGAGCUGGCACAUUUCUGGAGCACUACACGGCAGCAGUAUUGCAAGAAUGUUAUCUAUUUGAAAGAGCAAUAGAUGGCAGCACUAUUUCCUGCUCCAGAUGCCUACCUAGGUAUCUCUUCCACACAGAAUACCAAUGGGAACGAAGAAGUGAAUUGGAAACUUUUUUUUAAAAUGAUGCAGAUGGACAAUAGAUGGCGGGAACAAAAUCAACUCUUGGGUGUGUUGGUUGAGCACUUUACACACCAGCAGGACACUGCCUCCAGCCUAUCAUCUGUGGCCAGCACUCCAGCAGAAUCAUCUGAAUCUUCCCAAACCAGGAGAACAAGGAAAUCCACUCCAGUCACCUCAGCCCCCUCA